AACGAAAUAGUUUAAUUUUAAAGAAUUUUUGGUUUGCGUCCAUAAGGAGGACAUUUAUGUCUUUUCGUUG
rnacentral:tRNA from 1 species